CCGGCUCCUCCUCCCCACGCGGUGAUGAAGAACCCACAGAGAUGUAUGUAUGUAUAUCGAUUUGGGGGCUCCGGAUUUCUGGAGUGCGGGCGAGGCUUCAAGCCGUGGGUGAUCCCCAAGUCCGUGGCGCGAGGGGGAGCCAGCGUCGCCGUGAACAAUGUCAAGCGCUGGCCGAGGAAGAUGGACGAGGCGAUGGAGUUCUACGAGUUCUACGAUUGGAACGUCCGCUCCUACCGCUUCAAGUCGCCCUUCGAUCGCCGCCCACUCAUCGGCCCCCGUGAGCGCCGCAGGAAAAACGAAGCGAAGCGCACCCUCCGCCUCGUCGGGAGCAGCGACCCGGAGUACCUGCUUCAAUGUGAGACCGCUGCAUUUGGCGAUUGGGAGGACGAGGAUUAGUAACAUCAGUGAUUCAGUUGUACAACAUAAACUUGUUGAUGUGAUCAUUUUCAUCCUAGACGCAUUCAACAAUAGGUCAAAGCACACCAACGGAUCAAACAAGGUAUUAAGUAGUACAGUUGUAGGAUGGCCUUUGUCUCACGAAGCUGGACGCACAUAUCUGACAAGUAGUAGCAGCAGCAUGUCUUGAGUUUCAGAAACUUCCUGCAGUGAAGAGAGCGUCGGUCUGUAAUAAUUUUGGCACUCUCUCUUCCCUUAUACUUUCUAAUCACGUGUUCGCGAUGCCGGAUGUUUCUCCAGGACUUUCAGCAGAAAACUAUCUUUUACUCUACUUCGUGGUCUCGUAUCAAUUAUUUAGGCCAAUGCAUAUCAUCUUGAAAAACUGAUACCACGACCAUAUAUAUGAGAA